CCCCAGUCCAGGAAAGUUAAUCAGAAUCACUUGGAUAUAGGUAGUUUCGAAAGCUCCCCAGGUGAUCCUCAUGUAUUGCCACAGCUGAGAAUCAUUGCCUCUGUUAGUUGCUCUGCCCAUCUAAUUGAAAUAGAUUCUCUCAGGUGUCGCUGAAUAAGGACCAGGUUUACUUAAGCUCACCAUUUCUGUAGAAAUUUAGAUUCUGGUAACCACUAUCAGGAGAUCUGUAUUAGGUCAGUUCACUCAACCCUGGCUUUCCUAUUUCAGCUUCCUUUGCAACUCUGUCAGUGGAAGACAAGUUGGGGUAGACAGGGUACAAGGACAGCAUGGAAGAAAGAAAAAAAUGCAUCCCAUUUUUUGUUAUUUUCUCAACAGUCUCUGAAAGAAAAGAAAAAGAAGUGUAGCUCUCUGUAUCCGACAAAAUGGCGCAUAAUCAUCUGUGAAAAUUGGAGGUCUGCAUGCUUCUCAAAUUGAGCUGUAACACUCACUGCUGCGGUCCAAGCCUUCAUUCUUUGAAGCCCGUGGAACCACAAACUCUUCAAUUGAUAAAAACCUUCGAUCGGAAGAGACUUCUCAUCUCAUUUCUGGGGGCCUGUCCGGGAUUUCUCUGAAGUGAAUAGAAUCCAUGAAACUGCAAGUGGUUCUACAAAUGGAGCCCCAAAUGACCACCACUAGCACCUACUAUCGAGGACCCCUAGACUGACCUACCAACCUGUUCUAACACCACGACACUGAAGAAGACUCCCCUCCUGAGGAACCCUCAACUGCAGAUCCCCUUCUGUGCCCCAGUUCAGCAGGAAGUAGCUAGAAUGAUCAUUGCCCAACUUCUCAACAGCACUUGGGCUUUCCUGUUGAGAGGGGGUACUGAGGCACUAAGUGGCUAAGUUAGCUAGACUUCCUGGGUCAACAGGGACUUCCCUAAGGGGACAUUCCUCUAAGCCAAAAUGAGUCAUAGCUGCAAGCUAAGGGAUUGAAACUUCAACCAAUCAAAGGGGACUUUCUCCUAAGCAAAAAUGAGUCACUGCUGCAAACUAAGUGAUUGAAACUUCACCCAAUCAUAUAGGGAGUUUAAGCUUUAGCUGCAGCCUGAUGUUUUUAACCAAUCAGGCCUGCCAACCCACAAGCAGAUAGAAAAUAAGCUAAUCCUAUGGGACAGAAAAAGGAAAAGGGGAGGAGUCAUAAGAGGAUAUAAGCAUAAGACACCCAAGCCAGAAACGGAAACCCUUCCGGGUCUCCUUCCACCACGUGGAAGCUUUACUUUUGCUUUUACUUUACUUUCACUUUAAUAAACCUUGGCGCUGCACACUCUUUGGGUCUG
rnacentral:lncRNA from 10 species